CCGGUAAGCCGGAACUUUAUAAAAACCGAAUGUAAACAAAGAGCAGAUUACUGUGGGUUAAACAGUUCUGAACUUCCAUUGCACAUAUUUUGUUAACCAUAAGGAAACAUACUGUACACUGAUGAGCAAAUGUCAUUUGCCUUAACACUGCACUAUUAUGGUCCCAAGGCUUAUGAAUACCUGACAAGAAAAUUCCAUCUUCCCUGAACCAAAACAUUAAGAAGGUAAAUGUGUUGGGAGGUUAUCAGAAGUUAAUGGCUCUCCAGGAAUCAACAGAUGCAUGAUAGAAGCAUUGAAACAGUUCAAGACAGUCCAGAAAUAUACACCAAUGUGGCUUGCAUGAUAGAUACAAUGGCAAUCAGGAAACAAAUUUGUUACGAUGCACAUAAAUAAAAAAAAA
rnacentral:sRNA from 1 species